AUUGAACGCUGGCGGCAUGCCUUACACAUGCAAGUCGAACGGUAACAGGUCUUCGGAUGCUGACGAGUGGCGAACGGGUGAGUAAUACAUCGGAACGUGCCUAGUAGUGGGGGAUAACUACUCGAAAGAGUGGCUAAUACCGCAUGAGAUCUACGGAUGAAAGCAGGGGAUCGCAAGACCUUGUGCUACUAGAGCGGCCGAUGGCAGAUUAGGUAGUUGGUGGGAUAAAAGCUUACCAAGCCGACGAUCUGUAGCUGGUCUGAGAGGACGAUCAGCCACGCUGGGACUGAGAGACGGCCAAGACUCCUACGGGAGGCAGCAGUGGGGAAUUUUGGACAAUGGGCAAAAGCCUGAUCCAGCAAUGCCGCGUGCAGGACGAAGGCCUUCGGGUUGUAAACUGCUUUUGUACGGAACGAAAAGCCCCGGGUUAAUACCCUGGGGUCAUGACGGUACCGUAAGAAUAAGCACCGGCUAACUACGUGCCAGCCGCCGCCGUAA
rnacentral:rRNA from 1 species